AAGCCGUUCUCAGUUCGGAUCGGAGUCUGCAACCCGACUCCGUGAAGCUGGAUUCGCUAGUAAUCGCGCAUCAGCCAUGGCGCGGUGAAUACGUUCCCGGGCCUUGUACACACCGCCCGUCAAGCCAUGGAAGCCGGGAGCGCUUGAAGUGCGUUGCCGCAAGGCGCGCCCUAGAGCGAAACCGGUGACUGGGGCUAAGUCGUAACAAGGUACC
rnacentral:rRNA from 1 species